rnacentral:misc_RNA from 1 species
GAAGCCCAUUCGUGGUGUUAUAUAGGUGGCUUAAAACCCACUCACUAAUUCAAAGGAAUGACGAUUGAAAAAGCAAAAUCCAAACUAACUUCCUGUUGGAAGUGGUAUGUGUAGACAGAAUGGAAAUCUGUCGAGCGCCAUCAUCCUGCGUAACCAAAAAGGAAAUAUGAGAAUAUUUCGACCUGUACCCUUCCGGACAUGAAUGCUGAAGGCACACUUUUAUCCGCUGGUGUUUCGUAAGCGUGAACACAAAGUUCUUUUUCAUGCUCUGAGUGGCCGCUUCCUUUUGUGUAUGCACGCAUGCGACAUUAAUAUGAACCACUUUCACUGAUGAUUAUAAUUAGACUUGAUCAACUGCGAGUGACACUCAGCGCCGGCCAGUAGAGCGUGCAAGACGCCCGAUGCGAGGAGCAUUAAGAUGAGACGACCGUGUCCCUUCCUCCAUCCCUCGGGGCGCGGCGCUGUCGGUGUAAAGCACGUACGUGACUCAUCCAGCCAGAUACCUACUUAAAACCCACCUGAACAGGAAAUUAACACACCUUGAGGUACAGCGUACAGAUGUACACAUAGCAUGUGACUCGGAGCACACGUGUACACACAAUUUGUGACGCAGCCUAUAAGUGAACAUAUUUCUUUUGACAAAGCGUACAGGUGUGAACAUCUUGUGACGCAACGUACAGGUGUAUUCACAGGUGUAGUCGCGUAUAGGUGUACACAGCAGGGGGAGGGGCGACAUGGCAUAGCUGCCCGUCUCUACUGCCUCUGUACUGACAGUUCCUGUGGUUUGCAUAUUUGUAAACAUGAUUUGUUCAAUCAAGUGGAAUGAGAAUAUGUUGCUUUGUUUUGCUAAGAAUAUAUUAAUCAUACACAGCCUAUAGGACACAAUCACAUAAUGAACAACACCUACGUUUUCAUUGCCUUCACCGGAAGUCCAGUGACCUUUACCGACCUUGUAGGACUUCCGUUUCUUAUUCUCAUGGGGAUCACGGAAAUCGUUCUUAACAUGGUCGUGCUGGUGGCUCUGCUCUCCUCCCGAGACGACGCCUCCAACUCCUUCAUUGUGAACCUGGCCAUGGCCGACGCCCUGACCGGCCUCAUCGUCAUCUACAACAGUGUGUACACUAUGCUUGAGUGGAAAGAUGUCCACGAAUGUCUCUUCAGGUUUGGGCUUCUGAUUGGUGUAAACAUGGCGUCUGUACUCAGCAUUAUGUUGCUCACAGUGGACAGAUAUGUCAAAAUCAAAGACCCAUUCCGUCACAAACGAGUGUUCACGUCCAAGAGAGUGACAGCGUUGAACACCUCUGUGUGGGUGCUGGCCCUGACGCUGGCAUUGCUGCCUGUAGCUGGAUGGAACCGGUCACAACAAGUGAAGCAGACGUGUAACUUCUUCACCGUAUUCUCCACUAGCUAUCUCGUGACUGUUGUGGUCAUAUUUGUGAUACCACUGGUUGCCAUAGUGACAUUGUACCCACAAAUCUACGUUCUGGCCAGGAAGCACGCCAUGGCAAUACACGCCCAGCUGUGUCGGACGAGUUCAGGCAACACGCCCAGGUCGACGCUCAGGUUCGCCAAGACAGUGGGCAUCAUCAUCGGCAUGUAUAUCCUGUGUUGGGCGCCUGUAGGCACAUACCUCCUCCUAGUCCUGAUUGACCGUUCCCUGGUUGAAGACACAGGGGUCGACCUCGGUGCCGUCCUCACCUACACAGCCGGUGUCGGCUUCCUCAACAGCCUCAUCAACCCUCUAGUGUACGCCAUCAAGAUCCCUGCGGUAGGCCAGGUGUUCAGGAGAGUGUGUUGCUGUUGGUGCUGGUCUGAUCCUACCCCUUCCGCCAGACACAGUGUGUACACCCUGGCUAAUGUGGGGCUGGUACCCUUGACUCCGGACGACGCCAGGUGAUGUACGCCAGACACCGGGUGAUGUACGCCAUACACCCUGUGAUGUACGCCAGACACCCGGUGAUGUAUUCCAGACACUGGGUCCGGGUGAUUUACGUCAGACACCUGGUUAUGUACAACAGACACCCUGUGAUGUAAGCCAGACACUUGGUCCGGGUGAUGUAAGCCAGACACUUGGUCUGGGUGAUGUACGCCAGACACCCGGUGAUGUAUUCCAGACACUGGGUCCGGGUGAUGUACGACAGACACCGUUGAUGUACGCCAGACACCCGGUGAUGUAUUCCAAACACUGGGUCCGGGUGAUGUACGACAGACACCUGUUGAUGUACGAUAGACACGUGAUGCCGACAUUAACUGCCAUGGUCAGUUCGUAUGGAAUCCGGAGAGGAAAAUAAUUUAUGAAUAUUAAAUCAGAUUUGACAUAAUAAAAUGUUAAACAGUUUCA